CUGGCCGUCCGUCAGAUUAGCACAAGGAAGACGUUGCGCCGCUAAUAAAGAGAUUCUUUGGAAAGUCAACAACCCACAAUAUGCCAAAAGAGGUGACAAUUAAACACUUCCAUGGGAAAAAUCGCCGUGGGAUGAAACAGAAGGAGCUUGAAGACUACAAAUUAAUUCAAAACGGUCAGGAACAACAUAUUGAUAUUUCUCUAGUUAUUGCGCCUUAAAUAGUUAGUUUAUUUUUACUUUGGCAAUGAACUUGACAUAAGUAUGUGCUGACA